UACGGAGGGAGCUAGCGUUGUUCGGAAUUACUGGGCGUAAAGCGCGCGUAGGCGGCUUUGUAAGUUAGAGGUGAAAGCCCGGGGCUCAACCCCGGAAUUGCCUUUAAGACUGCAUCGCUUGAAUCCGGGAGAGGUGAGUGGAAUUCCGAGUGUAGAGGUGAAAUUCGUAGAUAUUCGGAGGAACACCAGUGGCGAAGGCGGCUCACUGGUCCAUUACUGACGCUGAGGUGCGCAAGCGUGGGGAGCAAACAGG
rnacentral:rRNA from 1 species